rnacentral:rRNA from 1 species
UGAGGAAUAUUGGACAAUGGAGGCAACUCUGAUCCAGCCAUGCCGCGUGAAGGACUAAGGCCCUAUGGGUCGUAAACUUCUUUUGACGCAGAGCAAUAAGGAUUACGUGUAGUCUGAUGAGAGUAUGCGUCGAAUAAGCAUCGGCUAACUCCGUGCCAGCAGCCGCGGUAAUACGGAGGAUGCGAGCGUUAUCCGGAUUUAUUGGGUUUAAAGGGUGCGUAGGCGGCAAGUAAGGUCGGCGGUUAAACUGCGGGGCUCAACCCCGUAUCGCCGUCGAAACCGGCAGGCUAGAGUGGAGAAGAGGUAAGCGGAAUGCGAGGUGUAGCGGUGAAAUGCAUAGAUAUCGCGCAGAACUCCGAUUGCGAAGGCAGCGUACUAUUCUCCAACUGACGCUGAGGCACGAAAGCGUGGGUAUCGAACAGGAUUAGAUACCCUGGUAGU